GACCUGAGCCAAAGUCAGACAUUUAACACACUGAGCCACCCAGGCGCCCCUCAGAGAGACAUCUUAAGCAAGAGGGUUUGAAAAUCUUAAUGUCUCUACGUAGCAAAUCUCUCUAUAUAAUAGAGUGCCCAGAACACGAUGUCCUCCCUCCUGCCUCCUCUUUUUCUACAGAAUCCUCUACAAGGUCUCCUUCAGGGUGUCAGGGGCCCCUGGAAUUCUCCUGGCAAAGUUCAAGGUUGUGGCACCUGCUGCUGAGUGACUGAGACCCAACAUGCUUCCUGCUCACCACUGGUCCAAGCACUUCUCCCAGGACAAAGCCCCAGAAGAACCAGUGGGGCAGCAGCCAGGGCUUCCCAACCAUGGCCACGUUCAGGGCCAUUUGAUGUUCCUACAAACAUAGGCCCGUGCAAUGUGCUGCGGCAGUGUUUGCUUAGGAAGUAUACUUUUACCCCCAAGGAAAAUGCCUGCCUUUCCACCAGGUCCAGUUUGUGAGGACUUCAGGGAAGACAUUUAAACCACAUAGGCUUUGGCUCAGUUUCCUUGUUCGUAAAAAUGGUGUGCUAUGACCUAACCUGGCUGUCCCAAAAGGUAGUUAAGAGAUUAUGUGAAAAGGGUCUUUCUCAGGCAUUCUUCCCCCUGUAGUGAACAGAAAGCUCUGCCAGAGUGCCUUCCAGUGAGAGGGGUUUAUUUUUUCCCAUUACCAGGAAAUUUGAGAUUGACAGUCUCAGGUUCAAUAAUAUUGUAAGAGGAGUCAAAGUUUCCUUCACUUUUCAUCACGACCAUCUUUAAGCCUGCUGACCUUUUUCUUCAUGUUUCUUGCCUCAUGGUCCCAAAAUGGCUGCUGUACUUCUAGAUGUCACAUCUGCAUCCAAUGCAGGAAAAAGAGAUCAGAACAAAGGCUUUCUCCUAAUGAGGCAUUGUCUUUUUAUUUGGUGUGGACAGCCCUCCCUAUAGAAUAUCCCUUAUAUCUCAUUAGCCAAAACUGCACCAGAUUCCCUCCACAGUUUGUCACUAUCCAAAGGAAGCAAAAUUGCUAUGACUGGUUUAAACCGAUCAUAAUCCAUCCCCUUGGUCCAGGGGAGGGACUUAUGCUCCUUAAGAACAGGGGCCCUCCACUUACCACCUGAAGAAAUUGGGGAUGGAGUAGUGGAAAGGGAGGGAAUGGGGGUAAGGAUUAUAGGGAGGCAGUGGAAAACAUUGGCUAUAGAACCACAGAACUGGAGGCAAGCGGGAGAAGACAGGAGGUAUGUGAUGUGAGAAGAACCCAACUACAGUUGCUACCUUAGAAGAUGGAAGAAGAAGGCCAUGAUCCAAGGGAGGUGGGGGCCUCUCAAAGCUGGAAAAGGCAAGAAAAUUUUCCCCCGGAGCCUCUAGAAGGGAACUCAGACCUGCUAACAACUUGAUUGGAGCCCAGUGGGAACCAUGCCAGACUUCUGACUUCCAGAACUGGAAGGCAGUAAUUGGUGUUGUUUUGAGCCACUAUGUUUGUGGCAAUUUGUUAUAGUGGCAAAAGGAAACUAAUACAA